rnacentral:rRNA from 1 species
UACGAAGGGGGCUAGCGUUGUUCGGAAUUACUGGGCGUAAAGCGCACGUAGGCGGAUACUUAAGUCAGGGGUGAAAUCCCGGGGCUCAACCCCCGGAACUGCCUUUGAUACUGGGUAUCUCGAGUCCGGAAGAGGUGAGUGGAAUUCCGAGUGUAGAGGUGAAAUUCGUAGAUAUUCGGAGGAACACCAGUGGCGAAGGCGGCUCACUGGUCCGGUACUGACGCUGAGGUGCGAAAGCGUGGGGAGCGAACAGG